rnacentral:sRNA from 1 species
GCUAGGAGGGAGCAGGAACAGAAGCAGUGUGCUCCUAGGUGAGGCAGCUGUGACAGGCACCUGGUGGCCAGACUGUCUUCUAGCCUCCACUUCCUGGGAUGAUUCUUUGUCACAACAGGUUAAAAAGUGGGCUCUGAGUGUGGUGUGACUUCCCCAAGGGUCUUCCCAUGAAGAAGGAAAGAGCUGAUCAUCUCAAAAUGUGACUUGCAGCCAGGUGUGGUGGCUCACGCCUGUAAUCCCAGUACUUUGGGAGGCCGAGGCAGGUGGAUCACGAAGUCAGGAGAUCGAGACCAUCCUGGCUAACACGGUAAAACUUCGUCUCUACUAAAAAUACAAAAAAAAAAAAAAAAAUUAGCCGGGCGUGGUGGUGGGCGCCUGUAGUCCCAGCU